UACUCCUGAAACUAAUAUUGCACUGUAUGUUAACUAAUUAAAAUUUAAAUUUUAGAAAAAGAUGUGGUAUGUAUAUACAAUGGAAUUUUAUUUAGCCAUAAAAAAGGAAAGCUUGCCAUCUGCUACAACAUCGAUGAAACUUGAAUGUAUUAUACUCAGUGAAAUAAAGAGAGAAAGAGAGACAAAUACUGUAUAAUAUCACUUAUAUAAAGAACUUAAAAAAAAACAGAGCUCAUAGAUACUGAGAACAGAUUUAACGGAUUGGUCAUUGCCAGGUAAGGAGGGUGGGGGUGAGCAUAAUGGGUAAAAGGGGUCAAAAUCUACAAACUUCCAGUUACAAAAUAAAUGUCAUAAGGGUAUAAUGUGCAUCAUGGUGACAAUAGUUACUAAUAUUAUAUUGCAUAUUUGAAAGUUGCUAAGAGAGUAAAUGUUAAAAUUUCUCAUUACAAAAAUAAUUUAUUAGCUAUUUAUGGUUAUGGAUGUAAAUCAUAUUUAUUGUGGUGAUCAUUUUGCAAUCUACACAAUUAUCGAAUCAUGUUGUACACCUGAAACUAAUAUAAUGUUAUGCUAAUUGUAUCUCAAUUAAAAAGCAAGAGAAUUAUUUUUUAAAAAAAGAUACUCUUUCCUGUAAUGAGAUUGUGGGUGAUGGUUAUUGUCCAUACUGUAAAUUUUGGAGUUCUGUUUUUUUGGGUGUCUGAGCCUCUUUAAAAAUUAUUAUUGGGGCACCUGGGGGGCUCAGUCGGUUAAGAUUCCAACUCAGUUUUGGCUCCGGUCAUGAUCUCACGGUGCGUGGGUCUGAGCCCCACAUUGGGCUCUGCACUGAUGGUGCAAAGCCUGCUUGGGAUUCUCUCUCUUUGUUUUCUCCCCUCAGUCUCUUUCUCUCAAAAAUAAAUAAACAGUUUUAAAAGUUAAAAAUAAGUCAGAUGCUCAAUUGAUUGAGCUACCCAGGCAUCCCUUGCUGAGUGUGUUUUUAAGGUUUAUCUGUGUUGUAACAUGUGUCAACACUGGACUCCUUUUUAUAGCUUAAUAGUAUUCCACUAUGUGGAUAUACCACAUGUUGUUCAUCAGUUUGCUCACUGAUGGACAAUUUGUGUUGUUUCCAGUUUUGGGGUUUUAGGUACAAGGCACACCAGAGACAUAUGUUGUCACUCAUCUUGGAUAAAUACCUAGAAAUAGAGUUGCCGGGUUGUAGGAUAAUCUAUGCUUAACUUCUUGAAGAAUUUUAAGGAAAUGUUUUCCAAAGUGGCUGCACCAUUUUACAUCCCCACCAGCAAUACGUGAUGGUUCCAAUUUCUCCAUACCUUCACCAUCAUUUGUCACCCUCAAGUCUUUUGGAUUAGAGCCAUUCUAGUGGGUGUGAAGUGGUACCUCAUUGGGGUUUUGAUUUGCAUUUCCCUUUUAACUAAUGAUAUUGAUCCUGUUUUCAUGUGUUCUUUGGCCAUUCAUAUAUCUUCUUUGGAAAAAAUGUUCAAAUCCUUUACUCAUUUUUAAUUGGGUUAUCUUAUUAUUGAGUUGCAAGAGAUCUUUAUAUUCUGGAUAUAAGUACAAGAUAUUUUUAUCAGAUAUAUGAUUUGCAAGUAUUUUCUCCCAGUCUUUGGCUUGUUUUUCUGUUUUCUUAAUAGUGUCUUUUAAAAAUUAUUUAUUUAUUUAUUUAUUUAUUUAUUUAUUUAUUUAUUUAUUUAUGAGAGAGAGAGAGAAACAGAGCAUGAGCAAGGGAGGGGCAGAGAGAGAGGGAGACACAGAAUCUGAAGCAGGCUCUGGGCUCUGAGCUGUCAGCAUAGAGCGUAAGGCGGGGUUCAAACUUGUGAACCAGGAGAUCAUGACCUGAGCAGAAGUCGGACACUUAACCAACUGAGCCACCCAGGCUCUCCUAAUGGUAUCUUUUUAAAAUGUGUAUUUAUUUAUUUUGAGAGAAAGAGAGAGCUCAAGCAGCGGAGGGGCAGAGAGAGAGGAAGAGAGAAUCCCAAGCAGGCUCCUCACUGUCAGCACAGAGCCCAACCAUGGGGCUGGAUCCCAUAAACCAUGAGAUAAUGACCUGAGCCAACAUCAAGAGCCCGGACACCCAACCAACUGAGCCACCCAGGUGCCCCUUAAAGAGGCUCCUUCUCAGAGGAGCCUGGGUUUCCAAGAAGCAUCGGGAAACAGAACUUGGUGGCGACCCUCACUUGAUGGCAUCGCCAGCCCGCCUCCAGUGCGCCAGCCCCUGGGCCUUACCUCCAGACACUUUACACCCCACCUCUACUCAGGUCAUCCUGCUGCAGCGGGAACGAAGACUUCCGGGACUCCUCCCCGGCUAGGCGUCACCGUCCAGUGCCCCGCCUGCCCCUCCUGCACGGGCACCUGGGCCUGUCCUCCCACACUGUGGCCGAGCCAAGGUGGGAAGGGACCCGAGGCUAAGGGCAGACCUUCGUCUGCUUUUUUGCCUUUCCAGGUUACCUAUUUGCCUUUCCAGGUCGGCGGCUUCAUCCGGCGUGGCUCGCGGAAGGACUCCCGGGUCACUGAAGCUGGUGCGAAGCAGGGUCCCCAUCACAAAGAAGAACAGAAUGCCACCAACCACGGGGAUGGCGGGGGUGAUUUUCACUGCUAGAUAUGGGCAGCUGCCAACAGGUUGGGAAGGCAGGAGGAGAGGGGAAAGAGAAAGGAAAUAUAAUGUCAGUAAUCAACAGCGAGCAGUCUAUAUUUUCCAAGAAGCCGAAAGCUUCUUUGGAGGAGCAAAAUUGAUUUCCAUUAAAAAUUCAUCUAUGUUAAGCAUUUACAUUUGGGGAGGUCUGCAAUUCUCUCUUGUGGACAGCUUCACCCUCCCUGUCAAGCCACAAAACCCCAGGCCCUCUGCUCCCACAGUGCUACUCGGGAAAGACACUGGCAGAGGAGAGAAAAUCAUCCCACUUGCACGAUCAAUGCAGGAUGAACAAGAGCUUGUAGCCCGCGCGUUAUCAAUACAGCUAGUGAAUCUGUGCCGUCUUCCCCGCCUUCCCUGAAACUGCACAAGACAAGAAGACGCCGGCUUAGAACCAUCUUCCCCAGACCCAGGCUUUCCUUCCUGAGUUGAACACCUUCCUGGUCCAAAAGCUGAGAAGCGCAAAUGCACCCUUUAAAGGCAAGAAACCUGGCAGAGUGGGAACCAAUGCCAUGCCUGGAGCUGAGUGAGGAUCGGAUCUGCAAUGACCAUGGUCAGUCUGUUGUCACCACGUUCAGUAACCUCAUGGGCAUCAUCAAGGAACACAACAGGGAAUCACAAGAUUGUAGGAUCUGGAAUGGAAAUCACCUUCUGGAUGGACCACCCACCAGGGGAUACGCUUGCAGAUAUUCAAGCCGAAACAAACAGAGAGAGUAGAGACGAAAGCUUUGUUCCAGACAAGGAGGUGGACAGGGGGCUCAGUCCUGGGAAUGUUAGGGACCAGCACCCCAUUCCUGUGCUGUGCUUGCAGAGGAGGUAGUGAGAUCUCUGAUGGGAUGGCAAGGGGAUCCCAGCAAGAGUCCAGGCCUCAAGGACCACGGGCCAUGAUCCCCUUUGCCAAGGCCAGCAUCAGGCAUGUUAGAACAUUUGGUCUUGAAGAGGCAUGGUGAAUGAGACAGAGACCUGAAGACUAGGUCACGGUAAAGAUGACUUUCCAACAACUCUAAGAAGGUGGAUGAGUGACCCCCAAAACGACUGGGAGGCAUGGCCUGCAGGCAGGCAGACUGGGGUCUCCAAGAGAAACACCUGAUUUAGAGACACAACAAUUUAUGACAUUUCUAACAUCUCGUUCAUCUUUCCCAUACCAACUGCCCUGCCCAACUACCAAACAACCAUCACCGGUCUCUCGUGUCACAUUUCACUCGCUGGAUUGUCAGUUGUGACUUCUUUUCAUGGGACUCACAGGAAACCAUAAAAAAUUGUUCACUGUCAUUCCUGCAUCAGUGUGACCCUGCCCAAACUUCCAGACACUUAUAACCUUUUUGAACAUCCUCAGAGAUUCUUGUAGAACAGUAUAUUUGGCAAAGAGAGCCAGAAGAUACAAAGAAUGUGGAUAAAAGGAACACAAGACUCUCUAACCUAAAGAUAAGCACUUUGUGAAAGCACUCAGUUCAAUUAUGGAAAGGACUUUCUAAAUUCAACUGAUUUUGCUCUACAUUAAAAAAAAUCAUUGUUUUCCUCGAGUGUUUUCUGGCAAAUACUAACAUAAUUAAUACCCUUUAAUGGGCUUCCGAUUUUUCUUAAAAAAUGUGAAAAGCUUCAAGUUAAAUAACCAAACAUUUAAGAGACUGAGGACACCAUAAUCUGGUAAAUAGCCCUUAGUAUAUACUCCUGGCUUCGUAAAGGGAACGUUUUCUUGCAAUAGGAAUUAGACAAUUAGAAGAUUUUAAAAGAUGGCCCCACUAAGAUUCAGCAUAAAGUGACAAUCAAAAGCACAUUUACUACUGAAUCAAACUUGGAAUCCAAAUGUUCAUAUGGGGCUGAAUCCCGGCUCUAUGACGCGGUGUGGUGCGGUGGGCUUCGGGGAUAGGUGCUCCUCAGGGCGUGUCUAUUACGUUAUUUAGACUGUAAGUCCAUGUUUGGACAGUGACAUGGAACUUUUAUGAAGAGCUGGUAAUAAAAAUCGAUUGCUGCAA